rnacentral:rRNA from 1 species
GUGAGGAAUAUUGGUCAAUGGGCGGAAGCCUGAACCAGCCAUCCCGCGUGAAGGAAGGCGGCCCUAUGGGUUGUAAACUUCUUUAGUACAUGAAGAACAGGAUCUACGCGUAGGUUUAUGACGGUAAUGUACAAAAAAGCAUCGGCUAACUCCGUGCCAGCAGCCGCGGUAAUACGGAGGAUGCGAGCGUUAUCCGGAUUCAUUGGGUUUAAAGGGUACGUAGGUGGCCCUGUAAGUCAGUGGUGAAAAUCUGCCGCUUAACGGUAGGGGUGCCAAUGAUACUGCGGGGCUUGAGUACAGUUGAGGUAGGUGGAAUGUGUAGUGUAGCGGUGAAAUGCAUAGAUAUUACACAGAACUCCGAUUGCGAAGGCAUCUUACUAAGCUGAAACUGACACUGAUGUACGAAAGCGUGGGGAUCGAACAGGAUUAGAAACCCGUGUAGUCC